ACCAAAAGGGAAUAAGAGACCAUCGUCUCUAAUGACAAAAACAGAGAAGAGGAGCUAACCUAAAAUUGAGAGCUUAAAGCGGCCACCCGACUUUUCUAAUUAAAAAGGAGCUCUCUCACCGUGACUUCCUUAAUAGAAACAACAACAUUUGGUUGUUUGGUAAUUAACGGAAAAGGAAAACACAAAGAGAACUAAGAGAAAGCUUUUGCUCUCAUCAGUUUGGCUACAGCCAAUUCUAAGCCGUUUGAGUUCGUCGGCGAGUUUUGAUUCCGGUGCUGGUUCGAGCUUUAUUCUUCAAUAUAAACUUUGAGCCACUUCAUAAGACUUUCGAGGUGUUUCUGGACAAGGUCGGUGUUGAUUAUCUACGCAGCUUGUUCAUUUGGAGAUUUCAAGAUGGUGAGGACAUGUGCUAUCGAACAGGACGAACAACCACCAAUAGCAUCGGUUAGGGCCACAAGAGGUUGAGGUCGCGGUAAGGGCAGAGGUGCAGCUCGUACAAUAGUUAGAGCAGUGCCUGCAGAUCCACCAGUUGCUUCAGCUCUAGAGCAGGUACCAGAUAAGGUUGAGCCAGUGGGGCCAGCUCAGGCACCAGCUACGCACAUUGUGAUUCUAGGCCUUUAGGAGGCUUUGGUUUAGAUACUAACUGUUUGCACUAGCCUUGCUCGGGUGGUCUCUAUUCCGAUCGCAGUAGUCAUUUCUCAGGCCGAGGGAGGUAUUAAGAUUCCCGCCGCCCGUGCGCCAAAGAAGGUAAUGCAGGGACUUCAGACACUAGGGUACUACCAGCCCAGCCAGUUACAGUUUCUCAGACCCAUGUGGGUCCCAUUAUGAGUGAUAAUAAAUAGAGGAGACUAGAGAGAUUUGGGAGGCUUCAGCCUCCAUCAUUUAGCGGGGCUAAGUCAGAGGAUGCCCAUGGUUUCUUGGAUAAAUGCUAGUAGAUUCUUUGCAUGUCGGGCAUUCUAGAGACCAGUGGGGUCUCGUUCAUUACCUUUCAGUUUACUGGGGCUACCUUUAGAUGGUGGGAGGAUUAUGAGAGGCGUAGGCCGGUCAGUGCAACACCACUCUUAUGGCAGGAGUUCUCUAUUCUCUUCUUGGAGAAGUUCAUGUCGUAGUUUCGUAGGGAGGAGCUACGCAGACAGUUUGAGCAGCUAUGUUAGGAGGGCAUUUCUAUGACCCAGUACGAGAUGAGGUUUUU